GUGAAUCAUCGAAUUUUUGAACGCAAAUUGCGCUUCCUAGCAUCCCGGGAAGUAUGCCUGGUUGAGGGUCAGUAUUAACAAAAAAAUCGGUGUGUUUGCAAAUUGUUACGUUUCCGGAGUGUGGGCUAUCUUAACUUUUUUGGUUAAGGGGCUUAAAAUUGACCUUUUUUGCGCAGUUUUAGACGUACAUUAAUUUUUUUUUUUAUUCGUCUAUUUUUAAUUCCAAAAACUGAUUAGAUGGG
rnacentral:misc_RNA from 1 species